rnacentral:rRNA from 1 species
CAGUCGCCGCGGUAAUACAGAGGGUGCGAGCGUUAAUCGGAUUUACUGGGCGUAAAGCGUGCGUAGGCGGCUUCUUAAGUCGGAUGUGAAAUCCCUGAGCUUAACUUAGGAAUUGCAUUCGAUACUGGGAAGCUAGAGUAUGGGAGAGGAUGGUAGAAUUCCAGGUGUAGCGGUGAAAUGCGUAGAGAUCUGGAGGAAUACCGAUGGCGAAGGCAGCCAUCUGGCCUAAUACUGACGCUGAGGUACGAAAGCAUGGGGAGCAAACAGGAUUAGAUACCCCGGUAGUCCCUGUCUCUUAUAU